rnacentral:rRNA from 1 species
CCUACGGUAGACUGCAGUGGGGAAUCUUGCACAAUGGGGGAAACCCUGAUGCAGCGACGCCGCGUGAGUUACGAAGUAUCUAGGUAUGUAACGCUCUAUCAGCAGGGAAGAACAUGACGGUACCUGACUAAGCAGCCCCGGCUAACUACGUGCCAGCAGCCGCGGUACUACGUAUGUGGCACGCGUUAUCCGGAUUUACUGGGUGUACAGGGAGCGUCGACGUCGCUGCAAGUCCGGAGUGAAAGCCCAUGGCUUAACCAUGGUACUGCUCUGGACCCUGUGGAGCUGGAGUGCGGGAGGGGCAGGAGGAAUGCCUAGUGUAGCGGUGAAAUGCGUAGAUAUUAGGAGGAACACCGGCGGCGAAGGCGGCCUGCUGGACCGUAACUGACGUUGAGGCUCGAAAGCGUGGGGAGCAAACAGGAUUAGAUACCCUUGUAGUC